CCUUCCAAAAACAUCGCCUCCUGCAACCACAUUGAAUAUAGGAGGUCCAGCCUGCCCAGUGACUACGGGUUCAACGGCCGCGGUAUUUUGACCGUGCAAAGGUAGCGCAAUCACUUGUCUCUUAAAUAGAGACCUGUAUGAACGGCUAGACGAGGGCUUAACUGUCUCCCCCUUCCAGUCAGUGAAAUUGAUCUAUCCGUGCAGAAGCGGGUAUAAUUAUACAAGACGAGAAGACCCUUUGGAGCUUAAGGUACAAGAUUCAACCACGUUAAACGACUCUACAAGAAGCACGAACUUAGUGGUAAGUGAAAUUUUACCUUCGGUUGGGGCGACCACGGAGGAAAAAGAAGCCUCCGAGUGGACUGGGCCAAAUCCCUAAAGCCAAUAGAUACAUCUAUAAGCCGCAGAACAUCUGACCAAAAAUGAUCCGACUGAAAAGCCGAUCAACGAACCAAGUUACCCUAGGGAUAACAGCGCAAUCCUCUCCCAGAGUCCAUAUCGACGAGGGGGUUUACGACCUCGAUGUUGGAUCAGGACAUCCUAAUGGUGCAGCCGCUAUUAAGGGUUCGUUUGUUCAACGAUUAAAGUCCUAC
rnacentral:rRNA from 1 species